AGAGAGCCUCACGUCGACGGAGUAGCGAUCCACGACGACCCCGAGUCAUGCGGCGGCGCCCGCGAGGGCGCAGUCGAAGCGUUUGACAGGGGCACGAGCAGGCAGGGUAUUGAGCCGCGAAAUCAGGCAUUUCGGGACGCCGACGCUGUUAUCCGAAGCGGAAGGCAACACGGGCCACACCGAGAGCGCGAGGUGUGGCGCGGUCCUGCGCGGUCGAAGGCCC
rfam:Deltaproteobacteria bacterium RBG_16_71_12 RBG_16_scaffold_8027, whole genome shotgun sequence.